GUGUGUGUGUGUGUGGCUUAAACAUGACUGGGCCAAAAAGAACUUGGCAGCAAGUAAAAGUCAAAUACAUGAACAUCUUGCAGAAUGCCGUCAAAAAGAGAGGCCAAAUACAAAGAACGGGUGGUGGGUCACCUCCCACCGCCCUCACCCCAGCCGAAGACAUGGCCUUAUCACAAAAUAAAGGCAGGCCAGUUUUGGAGGGGAUCCUUGGGGGGACAGAAACAAAUGCAUGUCCCUCCCAAGAGGCUAACCGCUUCAUACAAGUUUCUGGCAGAAUAUACAGCCUUCAUGGAGGACAUUCUCAAAAAGGGUUAUGCAGAAAAGGUUCCACUUCAACAACUUCACAGAGAGGAUGGGAGGGUCUGGUAC